AGUGGAUUUCAGGAUUCCUCUAAGAAGCUUUGGAAUGCCAGAAGAUAACACAAGUGAGAAGAAAAAAUAAAACAAGAGGAAGGAUAUACUUCCCAUAAGGGGACAAAGUACAGCCGCAGCGUCCUCCGCUUGGGCCAUGGAACAGCUGCAGGUUUUGCCCUGAUUACCCUGGUGGUAAAGUCUGAUUGGUUAUGAUUCCCGGUGUCCAAAAGAUAAACACGGGCUGUGCAGUGGAGCCACACGCAUGCCUGUGCACGGCCACGCCAGGUCAGAAACCCAGCCCCUCUGCUUGGGAGGCACGCAGGGCUCCGGCUGAAGCCUGAAGCUUGGGAUCCUCAGAGCACAGACGUCCUAGGGCUGUGUGAAGUUAGUGAGAUGAGGUGUAUGGAGAGAGCUCGGAGAGGAGAGGGAGUCUCGAUUGCUGUCGCCGUGGCUCAGAGAUGCCUGCAAGAGGGUUGCACGUGGCAGAAACUUAAUCCACACUAACUUCAGCGAAGAAGGAAUGUACUGGCUCCAGUCAGUGAAAAGUCCAGGAGGAGCCAUGCCUUCAGGCAUGGCUGCAUCCAGGCACUCAACAGGUGCAUCCAGGCACUCAACAGGUGCAGCCAACACCUUGCCCCUCAGGCUGUCAGCUCCUGCCUUCUGCUGCAUCCACGUCACUGUAGGUGGAUUUCUCUGCACAUGGGUGAGAUGCCCCAGGAGCUCUGGCUCAUGGAGUCCUUGUAGCACCUGUCCCGGCCAUCCCCAGAUGAGAAAACAUCAUUUCCCAUGGCAGAAAUCUGGUGGAAACAGGAGGGAGGGGGUCGGUUCUCUUUGGUCGGAUCUGGGUCUUGUGCCCAUCUCUGGGAGAGAAAAGUCCCCAUUCACAGAAACUGAGCAGAUCCUGGAUUGGAUGGGGAAGGAGAGAUGCUGGCAGAUACACACACAUUCACUGCACUCCCUGCAAGGAUAGUGACAAUAGUAGAAGCUGCUCUUUCUUGAGAAGUUGUGAUGUGUGCCAGAAAAUUCUACCUUUUAAGGACAUAGAGAGGCUUUUAUCAUCCCCAUUUUACAGAUGACAAAACUGAGGCUCAGGGAGGUGAAGUGAUUUGCCUAUGGAUGCAUAGCUAAGGUCUGACCCCACAACUCACACUCACAAGUUAGCAAGAAGUGUUUCACCAGGGUAGUCUGGGGGCAGAAGGAGCCUGCCUGGUGAGGGAAGGGAGGUGGAGAGGUGGGGAGUGGGGAGGCCAAGAGGAGGGGACACCAGGACCUGGCCUCUGGCUUGCACAAUGGGGAGGGAACCCUGGAGAAGAGGAGGUUUAUGGGGGAGGCUGCUGAGUUUUUUGGGCACAUAUGCUAAGUUGGAGGUGCCCAUGGUCCUCAGGAGAUGUUCGGGAUUUGGGGGUCAGAGGCGUGAGCCUCGGCAUUGUGGGAAUCAUGGCUGUUUGCUUUGGGAAUUUCACAGUGGGUGGGGGGAAGGCGGCUGCUGACAGGAAGCACUUCCCAUUUGGUGGAGAAGGCAGCCUGAAUCUGCAUGGCAAGAGGCUGCGGCCUGGGCCUGUGACAGUGUCUACAACUGUGGCCACAGGUUCAAGGCCCUUGUAGUUGGGAGACACAGGGCCUGAAGUUCUCUGGCAGUUGUUUUAGGGCAAACACCUUGAGAAUGGCAUUUCCAAGGCCCUUGGGCUGUGCCAGGGCACCAACGCCAGUCGAGGACCACACCUUUCUGAGGGGUGCUUGGAAUCUCACAGACAGGGGUUCAAAUUCCGACUCUGCUUCCUAGAGGCUCUGUGGCCUUGGGCAUGUCUGGAACCUCUCUGGGCCACAGUUUGCUUAUCUGUGAAAGAGUCAUGGUAGCCUCUCCUCAUGGGUUUAUGAGGAGCUUGGGAGAUGGAGGGUGGGGCAGCACACAGCGCUUGAGCUGCAGCUCUUAGUUAACUGCUUUUCCUUUGCAGAUGUCCGAUGGAUCUGAUGGAGAGGUGGCAGGCGAAAUGCACCUGGCCUCAGGGUCAGGGGCUGUGAAUACAGUAGCAGUUGUAGCUAUGUGGUCAGAGUGGACUAGGACGGUCCUUCCACCAAGAAGGUUGGGCCUUCCUGCUCCUCGUUGUCCAGCUGCAGAAACUGAUCUCAUCCCUCAGGGCUUGGCACAACUGCCCCUUCCUCCUCACAUUCCCAAAUAUACCUACCCCUCCCCAACUCAAUCCUCCUCACCAGACUGUGGUUCCCAGAUGACAGGGCAGAGUUGGACUCACCUGUGUCUGCCAGGCCAGCUCACCAUGGGGGCAGGUCCCAAGAGGCCUCUGGAUUUGGACCAACUUCCAGUGUGACCUUGAACAAGCCCUUAGCCUCCCUCAGCCUCCGUUGCAUGAGGGGUUGUGCUGGCACAUCUCAGAGCAGGUGGUGCUACCUGGUGAGUUGAGGGCUCUGUCCAUCAUCUUUGUCACUGUAAUGCUGGGUAACAAAUGAACACGAAACAAUGAGUGCUCG
rnacentral:lncRNA from 1 species